AAGUACCUAGUCCAACACCGCAUCACUCACACUCUCUCAAACACUCUUCUUAUUCUUCAACUGCAUCUCAAACCUCUCUCUCUGUUCGAUUCCUUCAAAAAUGGCCAAAGAUCAAAGUAGCAUCAUGUGUGGCUCACGUUUAAGGUUCCUACUUCCUACUUGCAUUGAUUUCAAACGCUAAGUUACUGUGUUGAGAAUGUGAAUUGAAUUUGGUGUUUUUUUUUUUUUUUUGAGAUGGAAUUUGGUGUGUUGAUAUGUUCGUUGAUUUAACAAGGAAUGAUUUGUAAAUAAUCUAAUAACUUCUUCCCACGCUGUCAUAACCUCCCAUGGUCUAAUUUAAUUAAUGUCCAAAAUAAGCCAGCUUCUUUGUGUCAUGCCUUUAUAUAUAAAGGUACGUUCCUUUGUGAUUCAUUCGUAGAACAUUGUAUUCAUCCAUUGCAUGUCCCUAAUGCUAAUGAAGUUUCUAAGUAGUCAGAUCUCUCUUUUUGUGCUUUUUUUACAAUACUUCUGAAUCCUGCUCUAGUUUGAAGAUCAAUUCAAUGGUGACUAUGAAAUUAAGGUUGUUACUACUUACCUAUCAUUCGAGUAGCUGCUGCCAUGUCUGAUUCACUCAAACACCAAGAUAUGUUGCUCCUUGGUUUCGACAAACACUCAUGUUUUCUUUCUUGGCAGAGACUAUUUGGACCAUCCCUCUUUACUAUCCACACCAUCCCUUUUUUAUAAUAGCAUUGAUUUCAAUUUGGAAAAUAGUAGAUUUCUAAAAACAAAUUUGGCAAAUAGUAGCUUGGCCAAAUGCUACCUCUGCUCAUAUCACUAUUAUUAUUUAAUUUAGAAUAUUAGGAAAUCACAUAAAGGACACUUUAUUUUCAUUACUACUAGAAUGACAAGCACCAAAAUCUUAUAUGUAAUUUCUGCUACAUGACAUAUUCAAGGGAGUGGGUGGGUCUGAGAAAGUUCCGGUAGAUAUCAGAUCAAAGACGACCUUAUUGGCAGCCUCUGUACAAUGUGUCCCAUCCCAUAUCACUCUAGUAGAUGGUCUUUCACAUGAGCCCACAUAAAUUUCUUCACCAUCUAUGUUUAUAGUUUGCCCACAUACUACUCCUUGGGUAUAAUUGUAUUUCCCUCCAUAUCCACAACAAUUGAUUAGUGGAAGCUCAAAUCCUACAAUAUUGAUAAAGCUUUCAAUUUGUAACAUUCAUUUUAGGUAAGUUUGAGAAUAUGAAUUGGAAUAGUUUUGAUUUGUCUCACCGUAUUUCUCAAGAUUGCGAAAAUGAUCUAACUUAGGAGAGUAAAUAUCUACAUAUAUAAUUGCAGCGAGAGGAAGCUCCCGGCGGAGUUGAGCUAAUGCUUCCUUCAAUUUUUGGUUGAAAUAUUUUGCUACUUCAUUAUAUUAUGUUGCACAACCAUAAUGAUCUCUUUCAGCUUUUGGAAAAUUUGUCAAUAUAGCAGGGAGACAUCCAAUUGGUCAUGUGUUGUGUAUCCAAAAUGAUCUAGCCCUCAAAUCAUAUAUGAGCUUGAUCACCAUGUUUCAUUCAUUUAGAACGAUACGUUAAUAAAUCGGCUAACAAGAAAUUUUAGGUUGAGUAUUUAAAUAGUUAAUUUCAAAAAGUAAUGGUGUUAAUUACUCCUUAAAUUACUAAAAUUAAUUUUUGGAAAAUUAUAAAUAUGUUUUUUAAGUCUUUAAAUAUUUUGAAGAAUAAUGUUUUGUUCAUCCUUUAAAUAUACUUACACUAGGAGAAAUAUAAAAAGAAAAGAAUAAAUGAGAAACAUGAAGAAUAUUAGAAUAAUGUGAUAUAAAAAGAAGAGAGAGAGAAAGUGAGAAAGUGAUGAGUACUAUAAAUGACAUAUAAGAAAAAGUAAAGUGUGAUGAGUUAAUACUCCAUUAUAAAAAGACUAAUUUGCUUUUGGUUUAUAAAUAUAUCAGAAGAGUGUUGAACUACCUUGACAUUCUCUACGAAAGUCUUGAUUAUAUCCGGUACAGAAUGAUGAACUUCUUGUAUAGUUAUGUUGUCGUCAUAAAAACCAACACUGAUAUCAUUUUGUCCAAUAUCAAAUGUGUAUAAAGGUCUAGAAAAAUAUUCUUCUUUGGGCAUCAAUCUUGCAAACAAGCCACCUAAGGACAAAAAUUAGAAUAAAAUUCAAACAUGCAAAUCCUUGUUAUUAAUGAAGCUUAAAAUUACAAGCUAUAGUAGAAAUCAAUGACUAUAAAUUCUUGAGUGCUAACCUUGUUUUCUUAUGAAUUGUGAUAUGAAUAUGAAUUGCUGGAAUUGAAGGUAGUGAAGUCCAAGGAAGAAAGGACUAGAUCUACCCUUAGGUAUAACACUUGCAGGGACUCUAAUUGUUGAUGAUAAUGUUGCGAAGCUCGCACCGUGAGAGUAGUUGGAACCCAAAGAGUUAAGACACGCACUCGCACUGAGAUA
rnacentral:lncRNA from 1 species